rnacentral:misc_RNA from 1 species
GAUGAAGAACGCAGCGAAAUGCGAUACUUGGUGUGAAUUACAGAAUCCCGUGAACCAUCGAGUCUUUGAACGCAAGUUGCGCCUCAAGCCAUUAGGUUGAGGGCACGUCUGCCUGGGCGUCACAUAUCGUUGCCUGAUGCCAGUUUCCUCGUGAUGGGUGACUGUGCAGGGCGAAUGAUGGCUUCCCGUGAGCAUUGUUGCCUCAUGGUUGGUUGAAAAUUGAGUCCUUGGUAGGGAGCGCCGUGAUAGAUGGUGGUUGAGUGACGAACGAGACCCAAUCAUGUGAGACCCCUACCGAAUUUGGCCUUCAUGACCCACAUGCGUCUUUGGAACGCUCAUGACGAGACCUCAGGUCAGGCGGGGCUACCCGCUGAGUUUAAGCAUAUCAAUAAGCGGAGGA